rnacentral:rRNA from 1 species
AUUGAACGCUGGCGGCAUGCCUUACACAUGCAAGUCGAACGGCAGCGGGGGAGAAGCUUGCUUUUCCUGCCGGCGAGUGGCGAACGGGUGAGUAAUACAUCGGAACGUGCCCUGUAGUGGGGGAUAACUAGUCGAAAGAUUAGCUAAUACCGCAUACGACCUGAGGGUGAAAGUGGGGGACCGCAAGGCCUCAUGCUAUAGGAGCGGCCGAUGUCUGAUUAGCUAGUUGGUGGGGUAAAGGCCUACCAAGGCGACGAUCAGUAGCUGGUCUGAGAGGACGAUCAGCCACACUGGGACUGAGACACGGCCCAGACUCCUACGGGAGGCAGCAGUGGGGAAUUUUGGACAAUGGGCGAAAGCCUGAUCCAGCAAUGCCGCGUGUGUGAAGAAGGCCUUCGGGUUGUAAAGCACUUUUGUCCGGAAAGAAAUGGCUCUGGUUAAUACCUGGGGUCGAUGACGGUACCGGAAGAAUAAGGGGCUCCUAACUCUGUGCCAGCCGCCGCAGUAA